AAACGACACCGUGUAAGAUAUUCCAUCGCUACGCCAAGUACAAGCAACAUUCACAAAUUCGGUUCCUUUGUAUCGCUCUCUAUCAUUCUUUUUCUCUCUAAAACCUCCUGAGCCGUCAGAACCCUCAGAUUACCUUCGCUGAUACCAAAUUCAACAGUUUUUAGGAUAAUUUGAUAUGGCAGGGAGAAACCGUGGUCCACGCGAAGCCUUCAAUGACCGGCGUGGUUACCUGCCUGAAGGGCCUUAUAGUCGGGGUCCUCCAAUGCCUAGGCCUCCUCCUCCUCAUCCUGCUUUGUUGGAGGAAGAGCUUGAAAUGCAACAUGCUGAGAUCCGGAGGCUUUUAGCCGAUAAUAGGAGGCUAGUCGAAGACCGUAUGGCACUGCAUCGAGAACUUGGUGCUACCAAGGAAGAGCUUCAUCGCAUGAAUCUCAUCAUUGCUGACAUUCGUACAGAACAGGAAAUGCACUCUAGGGAGCUUAGGGAGAAAGGAUUGAAGCUGGAGGCUGAUCUUCGAGCUACUGAGCCUUUGAAACAUGAGGCUGUACAACUUCGUGCAGAAGUUCAGAAGCUGAAUAACCUUAGGCAGGAACUGACAGCGCAGGUUCAGAACCUCACACAAGAGCGUUCAAGACUGCAAGCUGAUAAUCAACAGAUUCCUUCUUUAAGGGCGGAGAUUGAUGGGAUGCACCAGGAGCUUAUGCAUGCUAGAGGUGCGCUUGAUUAUGAGAAGAAGGCAAACAUUGAGCUGAUGGAACAGAGACAGUCAAUGGAGAAGAACUUGGUUUCCAUGGCCCGCGAAGUGGAGAAGUUACGUGCAGAAUUUGUAAACGCUGACAGUAGGCCAUGGGGUGCUGGUGGACCAUAUGGGAUGAAAUUCAGCAGCACAGAUAGCAUUUAUCCUGCUCCUUAUGGGGAUGGAUAUGGGGUUCAUCUGGGUGCUUCUGAGAAAGGUCCUCGGUAUGGUCCUGGUCCGGCUUCAUUGGGAGGACCUGAGAAGCCUCGCAUGACUCGUCGUUGAGAUCUUGGUGAUUACCAUUUGAAUUAAGCAUUGACUUAUCUGUUUAUGUUGAUGUCCGUUAUUCGAAUACAGAUGGGCGAGAAGUGUUGGCUUUCAUCUAUGUAUGCAUGCCACUUCAGUAAUUCAUCUAAAUACAUUAUAGAAGGCUGGUACUUUUGUGUGGAAGGUAAAGGUAAAGGAUUCCUAAUCAAAAAAGAAAAAGAAAAGGUCAAGGCCAAGGAUGUCAAGAUAAGGUGCUGAAAACGCGUGCUUGUGGUCAGAGGGUUGAAAGCAAUUUUCACGUGCUUGGCCCUUAUUGAAGUGUUACGGUACUGAAAACGCUUUUGGUCAGAAGCAGAUUUGUUCUGACCACAUAAUGGAGCAGCAGCAGUUUGCUGCUUCUGGAAAUUGCAGAUAUGAGGUUUGAUGAGUUUUCUUGAAACUCCAAUUACGCCGUCAUACUCUUUCAGUAAAUGCCAACCAUGUGCCCACAUAAUACCCCUCUUCUGCUCACAUUUUUUCCUACCCUAGCCGGCAUCAGUUUGCCAUGUGCACUAUCGCUGAUCCCACCAGUUCAUUGCUGGAUUUCUAUGCCACUGAAUGAAAAACUCCUUUUCAAGAAUAUGUCAAAUAUCAGAAGAUUUGUUUUUAGUCUCUUUCGGAGGAAGAUUUUUGAUUUCUGAGGUCAAUUUGAUACUGGAGUUGGUUAGAAGCAUGGGUUUAGCUUUUGCUCUGAAGUUGUGCUAAUGUGAUUUUCAGGAAAUGGUUCAAGGAUGUUAAGGAGCACCCCACUUAUGGCUGGAUAAUGGGUAGAAAUGGUGCUUGCCAUUGUGUCAUACCAGGAUCACGGGAGCUUAAGGUCAAAAAGAGAACUAUAGCAAUGGUGGUACCGACUAGGGUUGUUGAAAGGUUGGAGAUAUCAGUGGUUAUCAAGACGGGAGGGGGGCUUUUCUUGAUUGGCUUGGUGGGUUUGGGCAAUUUUGUUGAGCAGGUGUUCAAGCACUUGGCAUUAGGCAUGGACAUGGUAGCCAUUGACUUUUGCCUUUGUUGGGCUUAGUUUUGCCGAGUAAGUCUAUUUAGUAGACUCUUGUAUGACUAUAUAAUUGGAUGACGUAGAGCUCAAAAUUAGCUUUUGAAUCAACACUUGAUUUCAAGGAUUGAUUUUUACUGUCA